GGAGUUGUGCCUGAAUAAAGGAUUACUUUGAUGAGGUAAAUAAUAAGGGUUAAAAUCCCUUCUGCUCCU
rnacentral:tRNA from 1 species